CAGGAAGAAGUGGUUAGACACAAGAGAGCUGAUAACACAGAAGAGAGUGACAAGCAGAGAAACUGGGAGUGCAGGCACAAGAUGUAGACAUCAAGAGAAAGCAGACAGAGACAGAAAGCGGAGUACAAAGAAUUCUUGAGCUGUAAAUUACAACAUGCCAUUUAAGCAUUUUGAAGGAACUGAAUGAGCACUCUGUAAAAGCUCCAGGCACUUGGAAUUUCUUUGUCCUGACGGUAAAAUUGGUCCAUUUAUACUGCAGAAAAAUUUCAAUGGAUUUUCCUGGGUCUGGCAGGAUGGAUGUAGAUCAGCUGUUUCCAUGACUGAUGAGCCCAACACUGGAGAACAUAAUCUCAAGAUGCAUCCAGACCUGCUAAGCUUUUUCAGCAAUUUCUGUUUUUGAUCGUCAAUGAAGAAUCUUGCAAAAUGAGUACAAUGGACCAUAGAGUCAUAGAGAUGAAGAGCACAGAAACAGAAUUUGGUCCAACUCAUACAUGCCAACCAGGACAUGAAGGCUUUUCGGACAAAGAAGACAAUCAGACUGUACCUUCUGAUGGAAGUGAAAAAGAUGCUACCAGAGUGUCUCCAGCAAGUUCUGUUUUUGUUACAGAGUGUAAAUGUGUCUGUAAAGAGAAUAAAUGUUGACGUUUCUUUUGGACA